rnacentral:rRNA from 1 species
UUCGCAAUGCCCGAAAGGGUGAACGAGCGACGCCGCGUGGAGGAUGAAGUCCUUCGGGUUGUAAAGCCCUGUCAACUGGGAAGAAUGGCGGGAGGUGAAUAGCCAUCUCGUCUGACGCUACCAGUGAAGGAAGCACCGGCUAAAUACGUGCCAGCAGCCGCGGUAAUACGUAUGGUGCGAACGUUGUUCGGAAUCACUGGGCAUAAAGAGCACGUAGGCGGUUGAGCAAGUCCAUUGUGAAAUCCCCUGGCUUAACCGGGGAACUGCAGUGGAUACUACUUGACUUGAGUGCAGGAGGGGAGAGUGGAAUUCCAGGUGGAGCGGUGAAAUGCGUAGAUAUCUGGAGGAACGCCGGUGGCGAAAGCGACUCUCUGGUCUGUAACUGACGCUGAGGUGCGAAAGCUAGGGGAGCAAACGGGAUUAGAUACCCCGGUAGUCCUAGCCCUAAACGAUGGGCACUAAGUAGAGGGGUUUU